AUUGAACGCUGGCGGCAGGCCUAACACAUGCAAGUCGAACGGUAACAGGAAGCAGCUUGCUGCUUCGCUGACGAGUGGCGGACGGGUGAGUAAUGUCUGGGAAGCUGCCUGAUGGAGGGGGAUAACUACUGGAAACGGUAGCUAAUACCGCAUAAUGUCGCAAGACCAAAGAGGGGGACCUUCGGGCCUCUUGCCAUCGGAUGUGCCCAGAUGGGAUUAGCUUGUUGGUGGGGUAACGGCUCACCAAGGCGACGAUCCCUAGCUGGUCUGAGAGGAUGACCAGCCACACUGGAACUGAGACACGGUCCAGACUCCUACGGGAGGCAGCAGUGGGGAAUACUGCACAAUGGGCGCAAGCCUGAUGCAGCCAUGCCGCGUGUAUGAAGAAGGCCUUCGGGUUGUAAAGUACUUUCAGCGGGGAGGAAGGGAGUAAAGUUAAUACCUUGGCUCAUUGACGUUACCCGCAGAAGAAGCACCGGCUAACUCCGUG
rnacentral:rRNA from 1 species